UUUUUCGAGAGUUUGAUCCUGGCUCAGGAUGAACGCUGGCUGUGUGCCUAAUACAUGCAUGUCGAGCGGAGUUCUUC
rnacentral:rRNA from 1 species